GGGCGUGUAGCUCAGUGGUAGAGCUCUGGUUUUACACACCAGCGGUCGCAGGUUCGAUACCUGUCGCGCCCACCA
rnacentral:tRNA from 3 species